rnacentral:rRNA from 1 species
UACGAAGGGGGCUAGCGUUGUUCGGAAUUACUGGGCGUAAAGCGCGCGCAGGCGGUUCUUCAAGUCAGAGGUGAAAGCCCAGAGCUCAACUCUGGAAUAGCCUUUGAGACUAGAGAACUAGGGUACGGGAGAGGUGAGUGGAAUUCCGAGUGUAGAGGUGAAAUUCGUAGAUAUUCGGAAGAACACCAGUGGCGAAGGCGGCUCACUGGCCCGUUACCGACGCUCAGGCGCGACAGCGUGGGGAGCAAACAGG